rnacentral:lncRNA from 1 species
UCUCCUUAUUUACACUAUAAAAAAGGAUCUGAUGUAAGUUGAAGAAUCACCGCAAUCGACCUCUCCAUCUCCGAAACCAUGGUGCCAGACUUGGUCACCAUAUCCUCUCAACUGUUUUUCAAAGGUAAGAUGUAUAACUGUAUAGAAAUAUCUAAUUUGCCUUGUCGCUCAUCGUCAAUCUAAUUCGAUAAUUAUUUUAUAUAUGCUCGCGACAUAGUCUUUUGAAUCUUCUAAAGCAAAUUCUCGGGGCUAGAUUUGAUUAAAGGGUCACUGAUUUUAGUCGUGGGUAAAUGUCUGUUUUCUUAGUUGCGACGAUUUGAGACACCUUACAUCUCUUCACGAUGACUAUACAUGAGAUUAGACAUAUCCUCUAUCUCAGGUGAAGUGACCAAGGUCGAGGUUAUGUCCAAUCUAAUGUAUGGCCACUGUGAAGAGAUAAAGGUGUCUUUAGUCACAUAGAUAAGAGGAUUCUGGAGCAAUGCUAUUCAAAUAAUCAAAUUAUUUGAAGCGAUGGUUCGUCAAAUGACGUUUUUACAACAAUAUAAUACGGCAAUACUCGCUCAGAAUCCUAACUUGCGCUUACCAAAAUUUCCCCCAAUCUUCAAUGACACUACGACGCAACCCGCAGGAGGGUUCAACAUAAAUUUUUCUGAAGCGUCGACUUCUAGAGCACCGCAAGUACAACUGCACGAAACUCUGCCUCUUCAACAAACAAUGCCACAACAGGAGUACACUACUCCACCACCGCGCGGAGGAAGAUCGAUUAUUUUCUCACAAGCGGCAUUACGAAAGGCGGUCGCGUCUAAACCUAAAAAGAAAAACAGAAAAUAGAAUAGUGAUUACCGAAUUUCUUUUCUGUCGUACUUUCAUUAUCGAAAAUCAAUUUCAAUUUCAUUUCAUUAUUUCAAUAAAUUAAUAUUUUCAAAAUAAAAAUUUAAAAAUUAUUCAAAAAAUAUCCAGCGGCUUGGCCGUCAGAAAUUUUUUCCCGGAGAAAUUUUUUUUUCUGCCAGAAAAUAUUGACCAGCGUCUAGGCUGCCAGGGAUUUUUUUCCCAAUUUUACACUACCACCAUCGGCCAGGCCGCCGGAAUAUAAUUUCAAAAAAAAAAUAUAAACGGCCAAGCCGCCAGUACUAUUUCCGUUAAAAUCGGAAUCCACAAUUUACUAGGCCGCCGGUAUAUUUAUUACAAAGCUGACGACAUUAGUUCCGACGAUGGAAUACCGUCGGCUUGGCCGCCAUGACACAUUUUACCGACGACCAGGCCGCCAGCAUUUGCCGCCAGAAUAAUGCUGGUUUUUUGUAGUGAAAUAUGCUUAUUUUUAAUCAUUAAUUAUUUUUUGUACGUUGUUUUUAAUAAAAUUAUUAAAGAUUGUAAAUGAGAUUGAUGAUUGCUGAAUGAUGAUGUUACAUGAUAUGUAAGUAAAUAAAAAUUAAAGUACAUACAUGAUGAUGCAAAGUCGAUAAGAUGACCGUUACAGUCGAACACAAUUUUCUCUUUCUCACUCCUGUCUACCUCGAGGUAGGUAGUAUUAAUAGUGUCGUUGCCCUACAUCAGGUCGAGCGGUGCUUCUGGGUUUAUGCCUUGGACCGGACCUGGGCCGAGGUCGGGUCGGAUUCGGGCCAAGAUUCAGACCGGACCCUAGUCGGGUUCGAGUCGUGGUCUGGGCCUGAUUACUGUUGUUAUUCUUGGACUGCUAUUAGUGAGUCGAAUCAAUAUACUAAGAUUCGAACUCUAAACAUCUAGUCACCUUAUUUAUACAUAGACUAUGAUUCAAACUAAUUGAUAGUAACGGUUGAAAUAAAUAAAACUAUAAGAAAACGUAUUUAUAAUUGAAAGUAUAGUAAAACAUUAAUGUUAUAUGGAAAUUAAUAAAAAUUUAGUUUGUAAAUGGUAUAACUGUAUUCGUAUCUGUUUUCGAAUUCGAAUAUGUCUGGUAUACCAAAAAUGAUAUCCGAAAAUUAUCUGGACGAAUUCGGAUAUCUACAAUAUCCGUCGUUAAAAUCCGAAUUCGCAUUCGGAUUUUUUAAGCCUUUUAUUUUAUUUUGUGAUUUUUUAAGGUUUUUAUAAAAAGUUAUCUGGAUUCUGGUUUUUCGGAUAUCCGAAAAUUUAUCCGAAUUCGGAUUCGGUUUUUCCUAUCCGGUUAUUAUUCGGACAGAUUCGGAUUAUCUAGAUUCAGAUACCAGAGUAUCUGAGCCGAAUCUGACUGAUAUACAGGCCAAAUGAAAUUUACGGCACACUUCAGGUACGCGAAAUUAAUUUAAUCCCUUCUUAUAAUUUGACUAACAUCUUUUUUAAAUAAAGGUAAAAGAAUGAAUAAAAAAACAUUCAAUUGUUGUUGGCGGUGGGGUGAAUAAAUGUUGUUAGUAGCAGUGCACUAGAUUAUAAUGUAAUAAAUGUUAAAUUUUUUGAAAUAUAUUACUUUUUCAGGAAUGGAUAAGUAAGAAAUUGUAAGGUAUUGAUGAAAUUCACUGUGGUACGUACGUAGUCUUAACGUUGAGGAGAUUUGAUGAAAUUCAUUGUCAGAUUCAGAUAUAUACGGUUGAUGAGACACGAUUUAAUGACACAUUCAAGGUAGGCACACCUAAAUAACAUUGCUCAUCAAAUAUAUCUUUGAUAUAAUGAUUGAUUUUCGUACUGUGUACUUCAUAUACUUUCU